GAGCCCAACAGAUGACAUGUUCAGAGAUUCACUAGGUCUGCAUAAGUUUACCGAGGAUGCUCUUCCUGAUAGAACCUUGGAGAUAGUGGACUCAACAAUCUGGCUGCACAUAGAACCCAAGGAUAGCAUUACAAGACGUGGAGUCCAGGAGUGCUUGAUCUCUGUCUUCAGGCUGGGCCUAUCCUGCUCGAAGCAACAGCCUCGGGAGCGACCAUCGAUAAGAGAUGUAGCAGCAGAGAUGCAUGCAAUCCGAGAUGCAUACCUAAUGUUUGGCAAUUAGAUUCCAGGGGAAUACGAGACAACAGAGCUGCUUCGAUCAACAAGCUGGUAGAAAUAACCCUGAAAUAGACAAAAAUAAAAUCCAAACAUGCUGUUUCAGGUUAAAAACUGCUCCAAGAGCUAUGUUUCUUUAUGUUAUGGAGCCGGUAUCAGAUAAUGUACAGCAGAUUUCACCUCAGGUUAUCAGCCUGAAGUUCCAGUUCUGCAAUAGCUACUUGGCUCGUAGCCUGGUACGAAUUCUGAAGGAUCCAUAAACCUGAUGAAAUCUGGCAGUGCGACGACCAUAAGUACACAAGCAGGAUGAAGUCAUUGAAUUCAAGCGAACAGCGGAACAGUAGUCAGUAGACACGAUUCAGAAUCUCACUUGUCAUAGUGCCCACAGCCCACAUGGGAAAACACCGAGGAAAAUGGAGCGAUACUUAUUCCUGAAGUGUAAUCUCACGUUUCCAGUCACUACAGCUGAAUGCUGCGAACUACUACCAACAAGGUUAGCCUUCGACGGCGAGAUCGGCGCCGCAGGACCGGGCAGCCGCAGCGCCCGAGCCCAGGCGGCACGCUCAGCGCAUCCCCCCGCAGGCCCCGCACCUCGCCGCGGGGAGGAGGCGCUGCGCCGGGCCGGAAGGAGGGGCGGCGGCGGCGGCGGCGGCGGUAACGCGUGUUUUUUUUUUUUUUAGGGGGGGCGGGGAGGAGGGGGUUAACGCGUGAGUGGUAGUG
rnacentral:lncRNA from 1 species